rnacentral:rRNA from 1 species
UACGUAGGGGGCGAGCGUUGUCCGGAAUUACUGGGCGUAAAGCGCACGUAGGCGGCUUGUUAAGUCAGGGGUGAAAUCCUGGAGCUCAACUCCAGAACUGCCUUUGAUACUGGCGAGCUUGAGUUCGGGAGAGGUGAGUGGAACUGCGAGUGUAGAGGUGAAAUUCGUAGAUAUUCGCAAGAACACCAGUGGCGAAGGCGGCUCACUGGCCCGAUACUGACGCUGAGGUGCGAAAGCGUGGGGAGCAAACAGG